GACGAACGCUGGCGGCGUGCUUAACACAUGCAAGUCGAACGGAAAGGCCCUGCUUUUGUGGGGUGCUCGAGUGGCGAACGGGUGAGUAACACGUGAGUAACCUGCCCUUGACUUUGUGAUAACUUCAGGAAACUGGGGCUAAUACCGGAUAGGAGCUCCUGCUGCAUGGUGGGGGUUGGAAAGUUUCGGCGGUUGGGGAUGGACUCGCGGCUUAUCAGCUUGUUGGUGGGGUAGUGGCUUACCAAGGCUUUGACGGGUAGCCGGCCUGAGAGGGUGACCGGCCACAUUGGGACUGAGAUACGGCCCAGACUCCUACGGGAGGCAGCAGUGGGGAAUAUUGCACAAUGGGCGGAAGCCUGAUGCAGCAACGCCGCGUGCGGGAUGACGGCCUUCGGGUUGUAAACCGCUGUCGCCUGUGACGAAGCGUGAGUGACGGUAAUGGGUAAAGAAGCACCGGCUAACUACGUG
rnacentral:rRNA from 1 species